rnacentral:ncRNA from 1 species
UGGGGACAGGCAGACUCCCCGUGAGACUUCGGUCCAAGCUCUGC